UACGUAGGGUGCAAGCGUUGUCCGGAAUUAUUGGGCGUAAAGAGCGUGUAGGCGGCCCGAUUAGUCCGCUGUGAAAGUCCAGGGCUCAACCCUGGAAUGCCGGUGGAUACUGUCGGGCUAGAGUCCGGAAGGGGCGAGUGGAAUUCCUGGUGUAGCGGUGAAAUGCGUAGAUAUCUGGAGGAACACCGGUGGCGAAGGCGGCAUUCUGGACCGAAACUGACGCUGAGGCGCGAAAGCCAGGGGAGCAAACGGG
rnacentral:rRNA from 1 species